ACACUGCAGUUUAGAGAAGCUCAGUUUUUAAUAAUGGUGUUAUCUUUAAACGAUAAAGUUUCAGAAGAAUUAGUCAACCACAGAAAUGUCUGGAAGCUUGCAUGCUGUGGACUUUGAGCAGUGUGCCAAACAACUCAAGAGCUACUGUAUUGUGAUGAAUAACUGGGUGUUGUUGUGUGCCAUGAUCUAAUUAAAAACCUGCU
rnacentral:lncRNA from 1 species